rnacentral:tRNA from 1 species
GGUGGCUCAGUGGUAGAGCACUUGCCUUGCAUACAUGAGGCCCUGGGUUUGAUUCCGCAGCACCA